rnacentral:rRNA from 1 species
GGGCGAAUCUUCCGCAAUGGACGAAAGUCUGACGGAGCAACGCCGCGUGAACGAUGAAGGCUUUCGGGUCGUAAAGUUCUGUUGUCAGGGAAGAACAAGUACUGGAGUAACUGCCGGUACCUUGACGGUACCUGACCAGAAAGCCACGGCUAACUACGUGCCAGCAGCCGCGGUAAUUAAAAAAA